rnacentral:misc_RNA from 1 species
CGCAUUGAAGGCAGACACUUUCGAUCGUGAUUUGUAUGUUUUAAAUGUUUUGUAUUGGCUGGUUGUUGGCACUUGACGGAAACGGUGGCGAUAGCGAUAUUAGUUGUGUAUACACAGUUCUUUCUGGAGGGUUGUUUUGGCCAGCAGUUGUUCGAUAUUUUCGAUAAUGAGUAAAAAAUAUUCUAAAAACUCCGAAAAGUUUGUGUUGCUCUCACUUUUUGUCGGCGCACUAAGCGCAUUGCCAGCGUUAUCUGGUGGAGUCUCGUUGACGUGGGGUCAGGUGGGCAAGUAUGCCUCGCCUAUUUACGAUGAAGAAAUUAAGCUCACUGAUAACAAACCGAUAGUUGAAGUUACGUAUCCACGACAGGGUGACAUCAACGAGUACAUCAUAACCGCAAUGCACGCAUUCGACACGAAAACACCACUAUACACGAUAUCUGAUGCGGAGCGCGCGGCCGAUGCACAUUUGGCAAGCGUGGAUUCUGCAAGGGUUACGGUUCUGCGUGGCGGCGUUGGCUUUAAUUACACGACAUUACGAUUUGAAAUGGCAACGCCCGCUUAUCAGCUAUCAGCUGCAGACAGCGCCCCGAGCACUGGCGGUCAUCCUGAUGGCGGCAGACAUGCGGGGCGUAGUAAUAACUUACGCGCACACUAUCAGCUCGUUAUUUACGGCGUUGAUUUAUAGCGUGAAUAAUUGUAUAAUAAACUUUUCUGCGAUUCUUUUUUCAAAUAAUCAUAGACGAGCUUAGUUAAGUAAUGGUUACAUUGCAAAUAAAUUAUUUUAUAAAUAUAAGUCGCAGUAAUAAUUCGUUUACCCUGUUUUUGUUGAAAUGUGUCCAAGGCAAGGAGCUGCUGAUAAGUCGAUGUACUUACAGGACUCUGUUGAUUUUGAGCUUUAAACCAUGAUCUACUCUUGAGUUGGUCAUUGUCGAUAAUAAAGGCAAGCUGAGUUGGUAGUUAUUAGCUUAAUAUUUAA